GCGUGGAGCCAACCUUGAAAUACCACCCUUUAAUGUUUGAUGUUCUAACGUUGGCCCCUGACCGGGGUUGCGGACAGUGUCUGGUGGGUAGUUUGACUGGGGCGGUCUCCUCCCAAAGCGUAACGGAGGAGCACGAAGGUUAGCUAAUCCUGGUCGGACAUCAGGAGGUUAGUGCAAUGGCAUAAGCUAGCUUGACUGCGAGCGUGACGGCGCGAGCAGGUGCGAAAGCAGGUCAUAGUGAUCCGGUGGUUCUGAAUGGAAGGGCCAUCGCUCAACGGAUAAAAGGUACUCCGGGGAUAACAGGCUGAUAC
rnacentral:rRNA from 1 species